rnacentral:misc_RNA from 1 species
UUUCCGUAGGUGAACCUGCGGAAGGAUCAUUAACGAAAGAUAAGGAGCGCUCUUCACUGAGGUUCCGACCCCUUUCUAUCCACAUACACCUGUGCACUCUUCGCGGAAGCGAGCGCCUCUGAAAUUUGGCACCGGUCGGGGAUGUCCUUAGACGUCUUUGAACCUUUUCCAUCUGUCUGAGGGCUGGCGACCGCUGACCACUUUUUAAGCUCCAUAAGUUUAUAAAGGAUGUUGCUCAAAGCAAUUUUGAAACAAACAUAACUUUCAACAACGGAUCUCUUGGCUCUCGCAUCGAUGAAGAACGCAGC